GAUCUCUGGGCCGUAACUGACGCUGAGGAGCGAAAGGGUGGGGAGCAAACAGGCUUAGAUACCCUGGUAGUCCACCCCGUAAACGUUGGGAACUAGUUGUGGGGUCCAUUCCACGGAUUCCGUGACGCAGCUAACGCAUUAAGUUCCCCGCCUGGGGAGUACGGCCGCAAGGCUAAAACUCAAAGGAAUUGACGGGGACCCGCACAAGCGGCGGAGCAUGCGGAUUAAUUCGAUGCAACGCGAAGAACCUUACCAAGGCUUGACAUACACGAGAACGCUGCAGAAAUGUAGAACUCUUUGGACACUCGUGAACAGGUGGUGCAUGGUUGUCGUCAGCUCGUGUCGUGAGAUGUUGGGUUAAGUCCCGCAACGAGCGCAACCCUCGUUCUAUGUUGCCAGCACGUAAUGGUGGGAACUCAUGGGAUACUGCCGGGGUCAACUCGGAGGAAGGUGGGGAUGACGUCAAAUCAUCAUGCCCCUUAUGUCUUGGGCUUCACGCAUGCUACAAUGGCCGGUACAAAGGGCUGCAAUACCGCGAGGUGGAGCGAAUCCCAAAAAGCCGGUCCCAGUUCGGAUUGAGGUCUGCAACU
rnacentral:rRNA from 1 species